GGUGGAUAAACUCGGGGGACUGCUGACUAUAACCAUUUCUCAAAACAGAGGAAGGUUGCGGCAAUAACAGGUCUGUGAUGCCCUCAGAUGUCCCGGGCUGCACACGUGCUACAAUGAGUGGCGCAAUGUGCUAAUGUUUAAGGGAUAAGAGUGUGGUCAGUAGAACGUCGGGAUUUCCCCUGACGUCUCCCCCGCACGAUUAUCAGCCUUCCCUUAACAGGGCGGGCAACCUUUUCAAAAUACUGGUUUGAUGUUAAAGUAUUGAGUCGUUUUUUUUGGAUGGUGGUUUGUUAACCAAUACCAUCCGGCAACUGCUCGCGAGUUUGUGGUUCUGGCGACUCAUGGUGGGGACCGACGUUUGUAAUUUUUUGUCGCGUGUUAACUAGGAAUGCCUUGUACUGUCGAUUCACUAAUUUACUGGGAAUACGUCCCUGCCCUUUGUACACACCGCCCGUCGCUCUUACA
rnacentral:rRNA from 1 species